rnacentral:rRNA from 1 species
UGGGGAAUUUUGGACAAUGGGGGAAACCCUGAUCCAGCCAUCCCGCGUGUGCGAUGAAGGCCUUCGGGUUGUAAAGCACUUUUGGCAGGAAAGAAACGUCAUGGGUUAAUACCCCGUGAAACUGACGGUACCUGCAGAAUAAGCACCGGCUAACUACGUGCCAGCAGCCGCGGUAAUACGUAGGGUGCAAGCGUUAAUCGGAAUUACUGGGCGUAAAGCGUGCGCAGGCGGUUCUGAAAGAAAGAUGUGAAAUCCCAGAGCUCAACUUUGGAACUGCAUUUUUAACUCCCGGGCUAGAGUGUGUCAGAGGGAGGUGGAAUUCCGCGUGUAGCGGUGACAUGCGUAGAUAUGCGGAGGAACACCGAUGGCGAAGGCAGCCUCCUGGGAUAACACUGCCGCUCAUGCCCGAAAGCGUGGGGAGCAAACAGG